GAUGAAGAACGCAGCGAAAUGCGAUAAGUAGUGUGAAUUGCAGAAUUCAGUGAAUCAUCGAAUCUUUGAACGCACAUUGCGCCCUUUGGUAUUCCUUAGGGCAUGCCUGUUCGAGCGUCAUUUCAACCAUCAAGCCCCCGGCUUGUGUUGGGGACCUGCGGCUGCCGCAGGCCCUGAAAAGCAGUGGCGGGCUCGCUGUCACACCGAGCGUAGUAGCAUACAUCUCGCUCUGGGCGUGCUGCGGGUUCCGGCCGUUAAACCACCUUCAUAACCCAAGGUUGACCUCGGAUCAGGUAGGAAGACCCGCUGAACUUAAGCAUAUCAAUAAGCGGAGGA
rnacentral:misc_RNA from 1 species